rnacentral:rRNA from 1 species
UACAGAGGUCUCAAGCGUUGUUCGGAUUCAUUGGGCGUAAAGGGUGCGUAGGCGGCGCGGUAAGUCGGGUGUGAAAUCUCGGAGCUUAACUCCGAAACUGCAUUCGAUACUCCCGUGCUUGAGGACUGGAGAGGAGACUGGAAUUUACGGUGUAGCGGUGAAAUGCGUAGAUAUCGUAAAGAAGACCAGUGGCGAAGGCGGGUCUCUGGACAGUUCCUGACGCUGAGGCACGAAGGUCAGGGGAGCAAACGGG